GUUGGCGCCAAGAUAUGGCAUGUCGAUUAUGUGUAGGUACUGAUUCUAUAUGGAUCACUGAAGUUAAGCAACGUUGCGCUUGGUUAGUAUUCGGAUGGGUGACCGUCUGGACAAUCGCGUGUUGCUGGAU
rnacentral:rRNA from 1 species